rnacentral:rRNA from 1 species
CGGACGGGUGAGUAAUGUCUGGGAAACUGCCUGAUGGAGGGGGAUAACUACUGGAGACGGUAGCUAAUACCGCAUAACGCCGCAAGACCAAAGAGGGGGACCUUCGGGCCUCUUGCCAUCAGAUGUGCCCAGAUGGGAUUAGCUAGUAGGUGGGGUAACGGCUCACCUAGGCGACGAUCCCUAGCUGGUCUGAGAGGAUGACCAGCCACACUGGAACUGAGACACGGUCCAG